UCAACACCGCCUUAUGGAUCAUCGUCUCCUUGUGUAUUUGGUGACAGCUCUUUUCAACAAGAUCAAGCAGUUUCUCCAAGUUCAUUGCCCAUGAAUUGAGAAUGUCAUUGCUGUCCUUCGAUGUCUGGAAGCUGACAAUGCCCAUCGGCCUGUCGAUCUUUGCCACUAAAGCCUUGGAAACAACCAUUUCGGAAAGAUGCUUCUCUGCUUCCUGGAGAUUGAGACACAGCAGCUCUGCAAGUCUCUUCAACGUAAUCCUCGAGUAGUACUUCGACACCACAAGAAUAUUAUGCUCGAUUAUCCUUUGUUUAAGAUCUUCUGCAGCCUUCUCGACCAAAGAGCCACCUAACAAGUUCUUCUCAUUCUCAAACUCAUCCUUGUAAUCAUUCCAUAGAGCUGUCCAUUGGAUGACCUCCAUAGUAACUAGCUGUUUCAACAACAACCUGAAAUUUGGGAUCUCUGAAAGAUUUUUUUCUUCCAAGAUGGAAUUAAGAAGGCUCGACUGCAUGGGAUCGUGUGGUGACAGAACUAGGUACCAACAGAUUUUCCUCAGGACUGGUAUCCAAUGAGCUGAGUUUUCCUUGACAGACGGAAUAUCAUAUAUUGAUUUGUAGCAGCGACAAAUUUCAAGGUAAUCCUUGUGGUGGGAAUAAUACCUUAUCAUCAAUUCAUAGUAAAUACGCUUCAACUCCAUUAACGAUGGGAUAUCAGCUGGAGCCUCCUCAACAAUAUUAUCGCCUUCUUUAGGUUUCUUCUUCUCCUUUGUAGGAUCGGCAUCAAAAACUCUUGGACUGAUUUUCCUUGAUAGGAUCUGAGCACGAACAUAAUCCUGACGGUCUAAACACAGACGAACUUGCUCAAGAAUGAAUGCAAUUUUUUCAGUUUUAGCCAUGGCACCAAAAGUUUCCACAGCAAUUUCUUGCAUCAAGUCAGCAGCUUCUGCAAUAAGCCCCUGUUCUUCUUUGAUUUUUGCCAAUUUCUUGAUUAACCGGGCUCUCUCGAUUUCCACAUAUAUCUUUCCUGCAGACACAUUGUUAAGCGUCUUGAUAAGCUCUAUUUUGGUCUCGAUGUCUGGUGUUUCAUCAAUGUAUUGCAUCGCUUGUUGAACCAUUGCAGUUACAGCCUGUUUGAGUUGUCCACGGCGUUUGGAUAAGAGCACAAUCUGGUCAUUCAGAGUCCUCCAUGCUUUCGCAUCAAAGCAGAGCUGUAAAAUGUCAGUGGCGGCUUUCUUGGUGCCGGCCACAUCUCCGGCGAGCCGCAUCUGCUUCUCGACAUUGAGCAGUUGCUCUAUGGCUGCCUCUAAAUUACGUUCACCAUCCAUUUCUUCAAUUGG
rnacentral:misc_RNA from 1 species